rnacentral:tRNA from 2 species
GGGCAGGUGGCGGAAUAGGUAGACGCGCUAGCUUCAGGAGCUAGUGACUGAAAGGUCAUGAGGGUUCGAGUCCCUCUCUGCCCA